AUGAACGCUGGCGGCGUGCCUCAUACAUGCAGGUCGAGCGAACAGACGAGGAGCUUGCUCCUCUGACGUUAGCGGCGGACGGGUGAGUAACACGUGGAUAACCUACCUAUAAGACUGGGAUAACUUCGGGAAACCGGAGCUAAUACCGGAUAAUAUAUUGAACCGCAUGGUUCAAUAGUGAAAGACGGUUUUGCUGUCACUUAUAGAUGGAUCCGCGCCGCAUUAGCUAGUUGGUAAGGUAACGGCUUACCAAGGCAACGAUGCGUAGCCGACCUGAGAGGGUGAUCGGCCACACUGGAACUGAGACACGGUCCAGACUCCUACGGGAGGCAGCAGUAGGGAAUCUUCCGCAAUGGGCGAAAGCCUGACGGAGCAACGCCGCGUGAGUGAUGAAGGUCUUCGGAUCGUAAAACUCUGUUAUUAGGGAAGAACAAAUGUGUAAGUAACUAUGCACGUCUUGACGGUACCUAAUCAGAAAGCCACGGCUAACUACGUG
rnacentral:rRNA from 1 species